rnacentral:rRNA from 1 species
GACGAACCGAGCGAAUGUUGUUCGGCAUCCCUGGGCUUAAAGGUUGCGUAGGCGGGUUGUCCAGUCUGGGGUGAAAUCCCACGGCUCAACCGUGGAACUGCCUCAGAUACUGACGACCUCGAGGGAGGUAGGGGCGAGCGGAACUGUGGGUGGAGCGGUGAAAUGCGUUGAUAUCCAUAGGAACUCCGGUGGCGAAGGCGGCUCGCUGGACCUCUUCUGACGCUGAGGCACGAAAGCUAGGGGAGCAAACGGG